rfam:Klebsiella sp. RIT-PI-d NODE_1_length_2264346_cov_38.3847_ID_1, whole genome shotgun sequence.
GAAGUUUCAGGUUGUCUCCCGCAUGGGGGCGACAGCACACCAAAACGGGUUGAUUCUCUCAGGUCGAUUUCGUGUGCUGAAUUGUUGACGCAUUCUUUUAUUGGUAUCGCAUGAAUCCCAUCGUAAUUAAUCGGCUUCAACGGAAGCUGGGCUACACUUUCCAUC